rnacentral:rRNA from 1 species
CAGUAGCCGCGGUAAAACGUAGGGUGCAAGCGUUAAUCGGAAUUACUGGGCGUAAAGCGUGCGCAGGCGGUUCUAUGAGACAGAUGUGAAAUCCCCGGGCUCAACCUGGGAACUGCAUUUGUGACUGUAGAGCUGGAGUGCGGCAGAGGGGGAUGGAAUUCCGCGUGUAGCAGUGAAAUGCGUAGAUAUGCGGAGGAACACCGAUGGCGAAGGCAAUCCCCUGGGCCUGCACUGACGCUCAUGCACGAAAGCGUGGGGAGCAAACAGGAUUAGAUACCCCGGUAGUCCCUGUCUCUUAUAC